rnacentral:lncRNA from 10 species
GCCAGGCAUGGUGACACAUGCCUGUAGUCCCAGCUACUGGGGAGGCUGAGGUGGGAGGAUUGCUUGAGCCCAGGAGGUUGAGGCUGCAGUGAACUGUGAUUGUGCCACUGCACUCCAGCAAGGGUGGCAGAUUGAGACUUGUCUCAAAUAAAAUAAAAUAAUAAAAUUUUAAUUAAUAUGGAUAAUUCUUUUUGUGGGGUGGGGGAACAGGAUCCCACUCUGUUACCCAGGCUGGAAUGCAGUGGCAUGGUCAUAGCUCACUGCAACCUCGAACUCUUGGGCUCCAGCAAUCCUCCUGC